rnacentral:rRNA from 1 species
GACGAACGCUGGCGGCGUGCUUAACACAUGCAAGUCGAACGGAAAGGCCCUGCUUUUGUGGGGUGCUCGAGUGGCGAACGGGUGAGUAACACGUGAGUAACCUGCCCUUGACUUUGGGAUAACCUCAGGAAACUGGGGCUAAUACCGGAUAGGAGCUCCUGCUGCAUGGUGGGGGUUGGAAAGUUUCGGCGGUUGGGGAUGGACUCGCGGCUUAUCAGCUUGUUGGUGGGGUAGUGGCUUACCAAGGCUUUGACGGGUAGCCGGCCUGAGAGGGUGACCGGCCACAUUGGGACUGAGAUACGGCCCAGACUCCUACGGGAGGCAGCAGUGGGGAAUAUUGCACAAUGGGCGGAAGCCUGAUGCAGCAACGCCGCGUGCGGGAUGACGGCCUUCGGGUUGUAAACCGCUUUCGCCUGUGACGAAGCGUGAGUGACGGGAAUGGGGAAAGAAGCACCGGCUAACUACGU